rnacentral:rRNA from 1 species
GACGAACGCUGGCGGCGUGCUUACCCCUGCAAGUCGAACGGAAAGGCCCUGCUUUUGUGGGGUGCUCGAGUGGCGAACGGGUGAGUAACACGUGAGUAACCUGCCCUUGACUUUGGGAUAACUUCAGGAAACUGGGGCUAAUACCGGAUAGGAGCUCCUGCUGCAUGGUGGGGGUUGGAAAGUUUCGGCGGUUGGGGAUGGACUCGCGGCUUAUCAGCUUGUUGGUGGGGUAGUGGCUUACCAAGGCUUUGACGGGUAGCCGGCCUGAGAGGGUGACCGGCCACAUUGGGACUGAGAUACGGCCCAGACUCCUACGGGAGGCAGCAGUGGGGAAUAUUGCACAAUGGGCGGAAGCCUGAUGCAGCAACGCCGCGUGCGGGAUGACGGCCUUCGGGUUGUAAACCGCUUUCGCCUGUGACGAAGCGUGAGUGACGGUAAUGGGUAAAGAAGCACCGGCUAACUACGUG